UGGAAGCUUAGCUGAAGUGUACGUCGUUAGUAGCGGACGGGUGAGUAAUGCAUGAGAACCUGCCCUCGGGAGGGGGACAACAGUUGGAAACGGCUGCUAAUACCCCGUAUGCCGAAAGGUGAAAGGGAGCGAUUCCCCCCAUGAAGGGGUUCUGGCCUUUCCACUGGGUUGGGGGGGAACGGGCUCCCCAGGGCAACAACGGGAAGCCGGCCGGAAAGGGGGAACGGCCCCCCGGAACUGAAAUCACGGCCCGAACCCCUCCGGAAGGAACCAUGGG
rnacentral:rRNA from 1 species